UACGUAGGCAGCGAGCGUUGUUCGGAGUUACUGGGCGUAAAGGGUGUGUAGGCGGUUUUCUAAGUUUGGUGUGAAAUCUCCCGGCUCAACCGGGAGGGUGCGCCGAAAACUGGGAGACUAGAGUGCGGGAUGGGAGAGUAGAAUUCCGUGGUGUAGCGGUGAAAUGCGUAGAUAUCAGGAGGAACACCGGUGGCGAAGGCGGAUCUCUGGGCCUUACCUGACGCUGAGGCGCGAAAGCUAGGGGAGCGAACAGG
rnacentral:rRNA from 1 species